rnacentral:ncRNA from 1 species
AGAGGGGUGCCCUGAACGUCUUUCAAGGCUGAGAUUAUACCCUAAAUACUUGAUCCGGUUAAUACCGGCGAAAGGACAUGU